rnacentral:rRNA from 1 species
UACAGAGGGGGCAAGCGUUAUUCGGAAUUAUUGGGCGUAAAGGGCGCGUAGGCGGCUACACAAGUGGCGGGUGAAAUCCCUCGGCUUAACCGAGGAACUGCCUGCCAGACUGUGUGGCUUGAGACCGGGAGAGGUGAGUGGAAUUCCCAGUGUAGCGGUGAAAUGCGUAGAUAUUGGGAGGAACACCGGUGGCGAAGGCGGCUACCUGGACCGGUUCUGACGCUGAUGCGCGAAAGCGUGGGGAGCAAACGGG